AAAACAGCCAACCCACGUUCACAGCUCCUCUCUCUCUCUCUCUCUCUCUCUCUCUCUCCAUUCCUCAACCGCCACCACUCCGCGCCUCUCUCCCACACCCCCACCCCCACCCCCACCCCCACCCCCACCCCUCACUCUCUCAUGGCCUAUGAAUACCCCAUCUUCACUCCUCCCUCUAUCUUUCACAGAUUUGCUCCGCCACCAACCGUCGUCCUGCCCCCGUUCUUGAAAGAACAGUCCCAUCCCCCGCCCUUGACAAAAAGAGGCAAGGUUCAGAAAAGGCGAGGAGUCAAUUGUUGAUUACGAGCCUUCAGGGGUUUCUUGAAUUCAACCACGAUGGAUGUGGUGUAUGAUGGAGACAUAAACGAACAAAGAAUUAAAGCCAAAAUGGCUCGACUCAUGCGCAGGAGAAGAUUAAUGACUCAACGUAACGACCCAUUAAUGAAUCAACGUUUCUUAGAAAUUGAGAGAGAGGCGCGAUGUUUGGGAAGUGCAUACUUGCGUCUAAGACGAUUGCGGCGUGCGCCCUCUCUGGUCCGGAACGACCGCAAUAGUGCGAAUGCUCAUGUCAUCUCCAUUGGAGGACAAUCUGUCAAUAUUCCACUACCAACAUCGAAUGAGCCAAAUCGAUCCAACUGGUAGGAACCUUUCCCGCAAUUAAAUAUUGCUAAUCUUUUUUAAACAGUCUUUCCUUUCAACCAAAAAAUGUGUUUUUUUGUUACUUAAUGCAUAGAAGCUACCAUGGAAAAUUUGAAUGGAGAUCAACCAACUGAUCAAAACAUAAUGCUUCCCGUCGGCCAUCCAAAUAUCAGUUAGUCUUACAGUUUUUCGUACCAAUCGUCAAUUGUUACAAUUUUGAUUUUUUAUAAACUGAAUUUCAGAGAGAGCAAGUAAUGAAUUUUAAGGCCAAGAAUGAAUCUACUAAAAUCAAUCGAAUUGUUAUAUACUGUAUUAACAAUUAAACAUGUAUAUACAUCUAUACAUUACCAUGCUAAUAGCCACUGUUUUAUCUAUCACACAAUUGAUUUACGAAAUCUUAUUGAACAUGUAUAUACAUCUAUGCUGCUCGUCUUUUUUUGUUAUUAUGUAGGAAUGUGUCAUAGAAAAAUAGUAUUUCAACUUUGGAAAAAUAGUCAACAAGAGUGCUAUGACUGAUGAAGCGACAAAUGUAUAACAGGUUUCGACUUCACAAUCUACGCGGAUAGUAAAGAUAGACAUCUAUUGUUCAAAAUGGAUGUUUUCCGUGAGAGCUAACACAAUUGAUUUACGAAAUCUUAUUGAAGAGUUCGUAGGUAUUAGAUCGUGGCAAAAUCGGUGGCGGCAGCGACGUUAGCUAAACAAUGGCAAUUAGUUUCUAAAUAGUUUCUUUAAACACUUUUUAAGUUGCAAGGACAUUAUCUAUUAGCUUUAUCAUUUUAUGUAUGAUUGUUAGCAAUAA